GACGAAACGCUGGCGGCGUGCCUAAUACAUGCAAGUAGAACGCUGAAGGAGGAGCUUGCUCUUCUGGAUGAGUUGCGAACGGGUGAGUAACGCGUAGGUAACCUGCCUGGUAGCGGGGGAUAACUAUUGGAAACGAUAGCUAAUACCGCAUAAUAGUAGAUGUUGCAUGACAUUUACUUAAAAGGUGCAAUUGCAUCACUACCAGAUGGACCUGCGUUGUAUUAGCUAGUUGGUGGGGUAACGGCUCACCAAGGCGACGAUACAUAGCCGACCUGAGAGGGUGAUCGGCCACACUGGGACUGAGACACGGCCCAGACUCCUACGGGAGGCAGCAGUAGGGAAUCUUCGGCAAUGGACGAAAGUCUGACCGAGCAACGCCGCGUGAGUGAAGAAGGUUUUCGGAUCGUAAAGCUCUGUUGUAAGAGAAGAACGAGUGUGAGAGUGGAAAGUUCACACUGUGACGGUAUCUUACCAGAAAGGGACGGCUAACUACGUGCCAGCAGCCGCGGUAAUACGUAGGUCCCGAGCGUUGUCCGGAUUUAUUGGGCGUAAAGCGGGCGCAGGCGGUUAGAUAAGUCUGAAGUUAAAGGCUGUGGCUUAACCAUAGUACGCUUUGGAAACUGUUUAACUUGAGUGCAAGAGGGGAGAGUGGAAUUCCAUGUGUAGCGGUGAAAUGCGUAGAUAUAUGGAGGAACACCGGUGGCGAAAGCGGCUCUCUGGCUUGUAACUGACGCUGAGGCUCGAAAGCGUGGGGAGCAAACAGG
rnacentral:rRNA from 1 species